rnacentral:lncRNA from 1 species
CCAGGGGGCGUUGUUGAGCUUAAUUUUUAUUAAAAGUAUAUAACAUUUGAGAAGAAUGAAAGGGCAUCGUAAUGCUCUAGACCUGUUAUUUGGCAAUAGGGAUUGUUAAAGAUGCUUUUCAUCAGAAAGGGACACUAACAGAAACUUUAGUCAUCAUCUCUUAUUGAACAUAAUCUAGCCAAAAGAAGAUCAUAAAAAGCAUACUUAUUGGUUUUUGUCCCCUUGUUUUACUUGUGAUGUUAUUUUGUUCAGCUAUAUAGGUCUAAUAAAUUUUCUUCAACUGUUCUAGAUAUUGCAAAAAGAUG